AGUAAGUCCAGCCCGAGGCUAAGGUGAGAGCGUCUGCCGGGACAGUGUGGCUGGACCCACGUGGCAGGAGGUGUUAACCACCGAAGGGAGGUAGAAUGUUUUUCCCCACCAGAGGAGGCAGCGACCACGUCUCCUCUAUGGAGGCAUUCAAGAGCCGUCCAGCUGAAGCAGCAUCACUGUCUGAGCUCGGAAGGCACAAUCCACAUAGGUCUGCAUGGUCCACCGAGCUGCAUACCCACGGGGCCAGCGGGAGGUGGGCAGCUGCUGGGCUCUCUUCUGAAGCAGGGUCUUGCUCUGUCACCCAGUCUGGAAUGCAGUGGUGCCAUCAUAGCUCACUACAGCCUGAGCUGUACUGAGCUCGAGGGAUCUUCCCGUCUCCGCCUCCUAAGCAGCUGGGACUACAGGCAAGAAGAAAGCUUCCCUACACAUUUAUCAAGGCUGUUAUAAUCCUGACUCCCAAACAAGGUGUCAGAAACGAAGAGACUCAAGAAAAGACUGCCUGCCCUACUCACCUUGACUGAGCGCUGACGAAGACCACGGGGCCCUCUGCGCUGCAAGGGCGGAGGUGGCCCAGAAGCCCGCAGUGCCCACGUGCAGGACCCAGGGUAGGGGGUGAGGCCGGACGAUGGCACCCGCCCCGCUGGUUCCCAGCCACACAGGGAGGCAAAGCAAAGGCAGCCCGCGGGCGGAUGGAGCUGCAGGGGCCGAGCGUCGGCAAGCCCAGGACGGCCUGGCGCAGGGUUGCGGGCGCCCGACCUCCAGCGUGGCCCGCGGAUGCAAGACAAAGCUUUAAAGCCUCCGGCCGCACAGCCACCCACUAGUCCCCAGGUAUGAGGACGGUCUGAAGAACCUCUCUCUCCUCUGCCUGCUGAAGAGUUCCAAGACAAGUAAGGCAACAGCAAGGACGACACAACCACACACCGCCACAACCACACGCCACCACCACCACACACUACCACAACCACACCACACACCUCCACAACCACACACCACCAACCCCACACUGCCACAACCACACACAACCACACACCACCACCACACACCAGAACCACACACAACCACACAUAACCACAACCACACAACACCACAACCACAACCACACACCAGCACCACAACACACAACCACAACCUCCCUCUGAGCUGCUCAGGCUGCUUUAACCAACCAGUUUGGAAUCCAAUCAAAAUCCUCUGCUGCCGUCUAGCGACGAAUACCGGGAAAGCAGAAUAUAUAGUAAGAAAGCUGUUUAAGAGGCAAAAAGUGAUCGUCUAAAGGUUUGCAAGUGCAAGCCAGAAGAACCUGGUCAUCCUGUGUUCAUGACAGUGCCUUGAACUGGGUCACCCCGCACUUGCUAAGGGGCUGGUGUGGGAUGUGACAAGAAGAAAGUCGUCAAGGGGACUCCAAGAUUUCUGACUUGAGAAACUGAAAAAGCCACUGUUAACUGAGAUUUUUUUUUUUUUUAAUGUGGGUGGAACGGAUUUGGGCAUAAAGAUUUAAAAAUCCAGUUUGAAACGUGCUAAAUUGGAAUGUUUAAAAGGGAAUACUUGCUAAACUGAGCAAUAAUUAUGCUGUCUCCAGGUUAGCACGCGUCCCCUUUUAGGUCAAAGGAUACAGAGUAGCAAGUAUGUAGGAGGAACAAAUCAAAAGAUCUAAUGAACAACAUCGGGACUGUCGUUUCUAUAGUGUGUUGUGUUAAGGAUUUUUGCAAAAUCAGUAGAUCAUAGCUGCUCUUGCCACAAGGCGGAAAAACGGAAAAAUGGAAAAACGGGUAACUAUGUGAGAUGAUGGAUAUAUUAAUCUGUUGUACUCUAGUAACCAUUUCACUAGAUACAUAAUAUCGUGUUGAACACCUUAAAUAUACACCACCAGAUUUAUUUUUUAAAAUAAAAAUGAAACAUGGCUUG
rnacentral:lncRNA from 1 species